GGCAGUUUACAUCACAUCAUGAAGUAUAACUUGGCAUCUAGAAGUCAGAGGGAACAACGUUCAAAUCCUAAGUCCUCUACUUAUGAGCUGUGUGACACUGGAUGACUUCACUAACAUCUCUCUACUUCAGUUUUACCGUAGAAAAAAUGGGAGCUAUAACAGUACCUACCUGAAAAGGCUGUGGAGAAGAUGAAAUGACAAAGUGAGUGUAAAGUGGCUGGGGUAGCACCUGGCAGAGUAAGAAAGCUGCUACAAAUAGUUGUGGAAUUACUACCUACAUUGACUUUUUUCAGAACUUCCAGGAACUAAUCUUGAAACAGACCAAGCACAGAGAGCCAGCUACAGAAGUCCAGAGAUUACCUCAAGGCAGUUAGUCAACAACCCAGCCAUUGUUCAGAUGACAGCAUCCUACACUCCAGGUGGACCAUGGCUCGAGAUAACCACCAGAACAAGACACUCCCACCUUGUACUCAGCAGCCUGCCUGCCUGCCUCCCAUUGCAAGUUCCCCUUUUUAAGCUCUCCUCCCCAGCCUAAAGUGUGAAGUGGUUGCUUUGGAAGAGAAUCUGGCCGUUUCUCGAUUACUAGUGUUGGUUAAUAAAGUCACUUUCUUUCUACUACACCUCACUGUUGUCACUGGACUCUGUAAGUGAAAAUGUACGGAUAUGUGAACCCUUUCCAGUCUUCUCUUACGGUUUUAGACAACACAGUUCAUCCGAGUCUUUCCCCAAAGGAAUAUCAGAAAACUGAAGAAGUGAAACGCCUUACUCAAGGUCACAAAGAGGGGUAGUGCAGAACAAAGAACAAAUCUUGACGUCCUAUUUCUUAGUCUAAAACAAUCUUGUCAUUGCCCCACCUAUAGCACAUUUCUUGGACUAUUUAAAAGACACUAUUUUAUAAUUUAAAAGUAAAUUUUAUUUCUUUAACAAUGAAAAAUCACUUAAAGUCCACGUUGGGAAACAAGGCUGAUUUUUAGAAAAAAAAAAAACUUCUCUAGCUAUAAAAAUAUAGGAAUAACUUUUUCCUCAUCUUAUUUUGAAAGCAGUUCCAACAUGUGUAGACCCAAGAGAAGAAAAAAAAUAUAUACACACACACACACACACAUAUGUUAAUAUAGACACACAAAUGUAUACAUACACAUAUAUAAAACAUUCAUAAAUAUGACAUUCACUUGGGUGACUAUAUUUGCAUUUUAAAUGUUUUUAUUUAUACAUUUUUAUUGAUACAUAUAUUAGUGGUACAUAUUUUGGGAGUACAGGUGAUAUUUUGAUACUUAUAGACAGUGUGAAAUAAUCAGACUAGGGUGGUUGGGAUAUCCAUUGCCUCAAACAUAUGUCUUUUCUUUGUGUUGAAAACAUUACAAUUCUUAUUUUCCAGUUAUUUUGAGAUAUAAAAGCAAUUAUUAACUAUAACUAUCCCACUGUACUAUCAAAUACCAGAACUCAUUCCUUUCAUCUAACUAUAUUUCUGUCCCUCCUAACCAACUUCUCUUUAUCCCCUCUCCACUCUUCCCUUCUCAGACUCUGAUAACCACCAUUCCACUCUCUAUCUUCCUAAGAUCCACUUUUUUAGCUCCUACAUGUGAGUGAGAACAUGUGACAUUUGUCUGUCUGUUCCUGGUUUAUUUCACUUAGUGACCUCCAGUUUCAUCCACGUUGCUGCAAAGACAAUAUUUCAUCCCUUUUUAUGGGUGAAUAAUAUUCCACUGUGUAUAUAUACCACAUUUUCUUUAUUCAUUCAUUCAUUGGUGAACAAUUAGGUUGAUUCCAUAUCUUUGCUACUGUGAAUAGUACUACAAUAAACAUGACAGUGCAGAUAUCACUUUGAUAUACUGAUUUCCUUUUUGCGGGGGAUAUGUGUGACAUUUCUGGAUUAUGUGGUAGUUCUGGUUUUUAGUUUUGUAAGGAACCUCCACACUGUUUUCCAUAAUGGCUGCACUACUUUACCACCAACGGUGUCCACUCAUUCCCCUUUCUUCAUAUCCUUACAAGCACUUGUUAUUUUUUGUCUUUUCAAUAACAGUCAUUCUAACUGGGGUGCGAUGAUACUUCAUGGUGAUUUUGAUUUGCAUUUUCCUGAUGAUUAGUGAUAUUCAGCUUUUUUAUUAUUUAUUUAUUUAUUUAUUACAAAACGCUAGCAAAAGGUCUUCCUUUUAUGAUAUAUAUGUGUGUGUGCAUAUGCACAACAUGCACACACACACAUACACACCACUUAUACAUGCCACAGGCUAAUAUCCUGUUGGCCAUUUGGAUAUCAUUUUUGAGAAAUGUCUAUUCAAGUCUUUUGCCCAUUUUUAAAUUAGAUUAUUUGUUUUUGGCUAAUCAGUUUGAGUUUUUAUGUAUUCUUGUUAUUAAUCCCUUGUUGGAUGGAUAGUUUGCAAAUAUUUUCUCCCAUUCUCUGAGUUGUCUCUUCACUUUGUUGACUGUUUCCUUUAUUGUGAAGAAGCUUUUUAGCUUGAUGCAAUCCCAUUUCUCUAAUUUUGUUUUGUUGCCUCUGCUUUUGAGGUCUUACUCCCAAAAAUCUUUGCCCAGACUAUUGCCCUGGAGCAUUUCCCCAAUGUUUUCUUUACAUUUAAGUCUCAUCCAUUUUGAGUUGAUUUUUAUAUAUAGUGAAAAAUGAGAAUCUAGUUUCAUUCUUCUGCAUAUGGAUAUCCAGUUUUCCCAGAAUCAUUUAUUAAGAGUUUGCUCUUUUUCUCUAAUGUAUUUUCUUGGUGCCUUUGCCAAAAAUGAGUUGAAUGUAAGUGCAUAGAUUUCUUCCUAGGUUUUACAUUCUGUUUCAUUGGUCUAUUUGUCUAUUUAUACGCCAGUGUCAUGCUGCUUUGGUUGCUACAGCUUUGUAGUAUAAUUUGAAAUAAGUUAGUGUGAUGCCUCCAGCUUUGUUCUUUUUGCUUUAUCUAUUUUGGGUCUUUUGUGGUUCCAUGUGAAUUUUAGGAUUGUUUUUAUUAUUUCUAUGAAGAAUAUCAUCUGUAUUUUGGUAGUGAUUGCAUUGAAUCUGUAGAUUGCUUUGGGUAUUACAGAUAUUUUAACAAUAUUAAUUUUUUCC
rnacentral:lncRNA from 10 species